rnacentral:lncRNA from 1 species
CAGACUAAAGAGUACAUGAAAUUGAUCACCUUGAUGGGGGAGGGGCCCCAAGAAUGUGGAAUCCUGAGGGGGACACGACUCUGCUUAGUAGAGCAGUGAGGGUCUUUUGGUCUUGAGAUGUCAAAGAGAGAAGGUAGGAAAAAGACUUUCUCCUGAGGGUUACCCAUUUUUCCUCCUGGUGACUGGAAAUCUUUCCCCCAACACUUCCCAAUUGAAGGGACUUCUGAAGAGAAACUUGAGCAAACUUUACCUCAGCUCCUGUUGCCCAGGGGAGACUGAUACAGUGAAUAGGAGGAAGAGAACAGUUUCCAAUUAUUUCGGAAUAUGCAAGACUUUUUUAACUGACUCAAACUUUUCCCUGAAAAAAAAAUCAUGUAUUUUCAAUACCAAUGUUCUCCCCAAAUGAUGUUGUAUGGCUCUGUAUCAUUAAAUUGUAUGGUCUCUAAUUGAAAUAACUGAAAAUUAGACUCACUAGUAUGAACCUGAGCAGAUUUCAGUACAUUACAAAUAAGGAAUUAGGGAGGUAAAGAAAUGUAAAAGAAUAUCUUUAAAUAAUUGGGAGGGUGGUUGAAUUGACUAAUUAAUUUAUUAGUAAUAAGUCAUUGUUAUUGUUUUAUUUAGCCACUGUGGUUUUAUUCUUAUAGGAGGCCUUUCUUUGAGAAUAUUCUUUCUACCAAUGUAUAUUAGCAAAUGUCUAGCAAAUUGGUGCCUAAGGAUUUGCCUGGGAUACUGAAAGGUUAAACAAUCUACCCAGGGUCAUAUGAUCAGUAUGUAUCAGAGACAGGACUUGAACUCAGUUUGUCCUAAAUCUGAGGCCACCCCUUCCAUGUCCUGUGUACCAUAUUUUAAAUAAUAUGGGCCAGUCCCAUGCCAAGAAGAAAGGAUAAUUGGUAGACCAUUUCACUCCAUUGCUAUCUUCAUGAUGUUGAAACAAAAUGAAGGAGGACAUUGAUACUUUGUCUGACCUCUCUCCUGUGAAUUUAUAGAAGGAGUUAGACAAAAGAUACAUAAGACAGGUAGGCAUAUAUGGUAUUCAUCUGCAUCACUGGAGAGAAUACUUGUAUGGAAUUCAAUUUGAAUUCAAUUCUCUACUAGCAGCACUGCAAUGAUCCAGGACAAUCCUGAGGGAUUUAUGAGAAAGAACACUAUCCAUAUCCAGAGAAAGAACUGUGGGAGCAGAAACAGAGAAGAAAAACAUUUCCUUGAUCACAAGCGUCAAUUGGGAUAAGAUUGGGGAUGAAGACUCUAAUCGAUCACCUUAGUGCAAAUAUCAAUAAUAUAGAAAUAGUUUUUGAUCAAUGACACAUGUAAAAACCAGUAGGUUUGCCUGUUGGCUAUGGGGGUGGGAGGAGGAGCAGAGGGAAAGAACAUGAAUCUUGUGGCCAUGCACAAUAUUCUAAAUUAAUUAAUUAAAAAUAAAUAAAUAAAUAAAUAAAUAAAUAAAAAAUUU